CCUACGGGAGGCAGCAGUGGGGAAUAUUGGACAAUGGGGGCAACCCUGAUCCAGCCAUGCCGCGUGUGUGAAGAAGGCCCUCGGGUUGUAAAGCACUUUCAGUGAGGAAGAACGCCUGGUGGUUAAUACCCAUCAGGAAAGACAUCACUCACAGAAGAAGCACCGGCUAACUCCGUGCCAGCAGCCGCGGUAAUACGGAGGGUGCGAGCGUUAAUCGGAAUUACUGGGCGUAAAGCGCGCGUAGGUGGCUUGAUAAGCCGGUUGUGAAAGCCCCGGGCUCAACCUGGGAACGGCAUCCGGAACUGUCAAGCUAGAGUGCAGGAGAGGAAGGUAGAAUUCCCGGUGUAGCGGUGAAAUGCGUAGAGAUCGGGAGGAAUACCAGUGGCGAAGGCGGCCUUCUGGACUGACACUGACACUGAGGUGCGAAAGCGUGGGUAGCAAACAGGAUUAGAUACCGUGUAGUC
rnacentral:rRNA from 1 species